UACGGGGGGGGCAAGCGUUGUCCGGAAUUACUGGGCGUAAAGAGCUCGUAGGUGGUUUGUCGCGUUGUUCGUGAAAACUCACAGCUUAACUGUGGGCGUGCGGGCGAUACGGGCAGACUGGAGUACUGCAGGGGAGACUGGAAUUCCUGGUGUAGCGGUGGAAUGCGCAGAUAUCAGGAGGAACACCGGUGGCGAAGGCGGGUCUAUGGGCAGUAACUGACGCUGAGGAGCGAAAGCGUGGGGAGCGAACAGG
rnacentral:rRNA from 1 species